GGCGACGGGGAUCGGCGGGAGGCGCCGCGGUGGCCCGACGGGGAGCGGUGGCGGCGCGGCGGGGGACGGGGCGAAGCGGAGUGCGGCGGCGAGGCGGCGGUAGCGGCGGCAGCUGGCGGCAGCGGCGGAGGCCGGCCGCGGCCUGGCCCCGGCCCCGACGUGCUGGAGCGGGAGGCGCGGGACCCCGAGGAGCUGCCCUCUUUCAGCCGGUGGGAUGAAGACGAGGACGAGGGGCCGGAGCGGCCGCAGCUAGAGCGGAGGCCUAUGGAUGUCCCUGGUAGUAUCUGGUGAUGGAUUUGGUGACAUUUGGAAGGAGCUCCGAGCUCUCACAUUGAAUUCCCAGAAAAGGAUGGAGAGCAUCCUGUCAGGUUUGUGUGGGACCAGCACAGAAGAUCCACUCCCUGUGUGGGUUCACGGCAGUGUUGGCCAUUGCUUUAAUCAGCUGACAUUAAAUGUGAUUCCUCAUGUGAUCCUUGCAGUGGUCAGUGCCUGCUUCCUUGGCACUCCAAGAUCUCGCUCUGAGGUGCCUCACAAGUCAGGCUGGAGAUGCAGAAUUGCUGCCUCCUUCAUACUUGCUGGCCUAUUCCUUGCUGAUACCAUCCCAGCCACUAUUUCUCAGCAGGAGCUGGGCCCUGUGUACCUGGAAGUGCUGGCCAAUGGCACUGCCACCCUGACAUGGCUCACGCACGGCCUCGCUCUUCUCAUGCUCUGCAGGUCCAUUCAUGGGUCUACCAGGGGCCCUGCUAUCCUGGCUCUCCUCACUCUCUUACCCCUGCCUUCCUUCAUCAUCACACUGAUGUGGUACUACCAAAGUGGGAUAGCUUGGUCCCCUGCCCACCCUGCUGCCUCCUCCAGGUUUGCCAUUCUGUGUCUGCAGCUGACCUCUCUGCUCGUGUAUGGGAUAGGCUACCUCUUCCCUGCUGCUGGCCGACAAGUCUUCCUCUCCAUCAAUAGCUCCUGGCAACAUGACCAGCUCAUCUCAGAGCCAGAGAUCUCGGUGCCUGAUCAGCAAAGGACAGCAGAAGAUGGUGAGAGCUGGCUCUCACGCUUCUUUUAUGUUUGGAUGAACCCUCUUAUGAAACGUGGCUAUGAGGGGAAGCUGAACCAGCCGCAGGAUGUCUGUGUGCUUCCUCGCCUGCUCCAGGCUGCCAGGGUCUGCGAUCACUUCUACUCUUGCUGGCAGAAGAAGGCAGCUCCACGCCAAGCAGAGGAGGAGACAGUGUCUCUCACUAGCCCAAUCCUUGCUGGAGGUGACGGGAGCAGCAGUGCCCUGGACAGCUUGCACCGUGCCCGGGAGACUGUGCGGCUCUUCUCAGUCCUUCACACGGCCUUUGGCCUUCGUUUCUACUCCCUGGGGCUUCUCAAGCUGGCCGGCAACCUGCUGAGUUUCUCAGGUCCCCUGCUUCUGAACCUGCUAGUGAACUUCAUGGAGUCCCGGCAGGAGCCCCUGAGGAAUGGAGUGCUCUAUGCCCUUGGGCUCUUUGCCGGCUCCUUCCUGGGCGCCCUCUUGCGCAGCCAGUUCAGCCACGAGAUGAACAAGGUGACGCUGAUGGUGCGGGCCACCGUCAUCUCUGCCAUCUACCGCAAGGCUCUGCGUGUCGGCAGCACCAGCCUUGCCCGCUUCACCGUGGGGGAAAUUGUCAACUUCAUGAGCACGGACACUAGUAGGUUGGUCAACUUCUACCUCGUCUUCCACGAGGUGUGGAGCAUGCCUUUCCAGUUUGCCAUUACCCUCUACCUCCUCUACCAGCAAGUGGGGGUAGCCUUUCUGGGAGGCUUGGCCCUGACACUACUGCUUGUGCCGAUCAACAAGGUCAUAGCUAACUGCAUCAUGAUGAACAACAAGGAGAUGCUGAAACACAAGGACACGCGGGUGAAGCUAAUGACAGAGUUCCUAUGUGGCAUUCGUGUGAUCAAGUUUUAUGCAUGGGAGAAGCACUUCAGCGCCAGGAUCAAUGCCUGCCGGGCUAAAGAGCUGCAGAGGUUAAGAGCCAUCAAGUACUUGGAUGCUGUGUGCGUGUAUCUGUGGGCCGCACUGCCUGUUGUUGUCUCCAUUGCCAUCUUCAUCACCUAUGUCCUGUUGGGUCACGAACUCACAGCCACAAAGGUGUUCACAGCAUUGGCCCUUGUCGGGAUGCUUAUUCUCCCCCUCAACAGCUUCCCAUGGGUGUUGAAUGCGGCCUUGGAAGCCAAAGUUUCCCUGGAUCGAAUCCAGCGUUUCCUUGAUCUCGUGGACCAGGACCUGGAAGCUUAUUAUGCCCUAGACAACCCUUCAGGUACUGCUGCUGCCAUAGAGAUGCAAGGUGCGGCCUUCUUAUGGACACCAGCUGAGGAGGAAAGCACCAGUCAGCCCUUAUCCACAGGCACCCUGCAACUGUACAUUGAGAGCUUGUCAGUGAGAAAGGGGAUGCUCCUGGGAGUCGUUGGGAAGGUUGGCUCUGGCAAAAGCUCUCUGCUUGCAGCCAUCACUGGAGAACUCAUUAAGCAGGGUGGACGGGUGUAUGUUUGUGACCUGGAGCAAGGAUUUGGUCUGGCCACACAGGAGCCUUGGAUACAGUUUACCACUGUCCGAGAGAACAUCCUUUUUGGGCGGGAAUAUGAUGCCAGGCUGUACAAGGAGGUGGUGGAGGCCUGUGCCCUCUCUGAGGACCUGAACAUUCUACCAGCAGGUGACCAGACAGAGGUGGGUGAAAAUGGUGUGACACUCAGUGGGGGACAGAAAGCCCGAAUAGCCCUUGCCAGAGCAGUUUACCAGGAGAAAGAGCUUUACCUCCUUGAUGAUCCCCUGGCUGCUGUUGAUGCAGAUGUAGCCAACCACCUUAUGCAAAAAUGUAUUCUGGGAGUUCUCAAAAACAAAACCAGGAUCCUUUGCACGCACAGGACGGAGUUUUUGGAGAAGGCCGAUGCCUUGUUGUUGCUAGACAAUGGCAGGAUAGUUAAGAGAGGCACACCAGCUGACAUCCUGCCACUCGUGGAAGCCUUCCCUAAGUUCAAGGAUAUGGACAAGAAGCAGAAGGCCCCUGAUGAACAGGGCCAAGAAGAGGUCAGAGAGACAGAGGCAGAAGAAUCAACCCAAACCAAUCAUCUCAUCCUCAAAGAGGAAGAGAAGAAAGAAGGAGCAGUAGCUUUUCAGGUGUACAAGGCAUAUUGGUUGGCAGUGGGCAGCUGCAUGGCAUGUUCCAUUCUCUUCUCGCUGCUCCUAAUGCAAGCAUCCAGAAAUAUCUCAGAUUGGUGGCUGUCAUACUGGAUCUCCAGCAUAUCUCAGACAGCAAAUACCUCUGUGAUGGUCUGCUCAGCUUCCUCGCCUUCCCCAGAGCUGCUGCUCUUCUCCAUUGGUGGGCUUGUCUCCCCCAUCCAAGCUCUGGACACCAGCCCAGUCCCUUCCAAUGGCUCACAGGAUGUGAAUUUCUACCUGAUAGUUUAUGGGAGCAUUGCAGGGGCCAACUCCCUCUUCACCAUUCUCCGGGCUUUCCUCUUUGCUUACGGCACGUUCCAUGCUGCCACCGUCAUUCACGACCGACUGCUCCAGAGGGCUCUAAAGGCCACAGUUACCUUCUUUGACACCACACCAACAGGCCGGAUCCUGAACCGCUUCUCCUCAGACCUGUACUGUGUGGAUGACAGCCUGCCCUUUAUCCUCAAUAUCUUCCUGUUCAAUAUGUAUGAGCUCUUGGGCAUGCUGGUGAUAAUCACCUAUGGCCUCCCUUGGAUCGCUCUGGUCUUGCUGCCUCUGGCUGCCCUCUACUUCUCCAUCCAGCGCUAUUACCGCCGCACAUCCCGGGAGCUCAAGCGCCUUUGCAGCAUCACCCUGUCUCCUAUUUACACUCACUUCUCAGAGACCCUCUCGGGCCUGAGCAGCAUCAGAGCCAUGCGGGCAACACAGAGGUUUGAGUUGGAGAAUCAGGCGCUGCUGGAGCAGAACCAGCACUGCCUCUUUGCCAGCAAGACAGCAGUGCAGUGGCUGGACAUCCGCCUGCAGAUGAUUGGGGUCACUGUGAUUACUGCUAUUGCAGGAAUUGCCAUCAUCCAGCACCAGAAGCAACUGGGAAAUCCAGGACUUGUGGGCCUGGCACUCUCAUACGCCCUGUCUAUCACAAACCUCCUCUCAGGCCUCAUUUCCAACUUCACUCAGACAGAGACCAUGAUGGUGAGUGUGGAGCGGACAGAGGAAUACACCACAGAGAUCCCCACAGAGCCCCAAGAUAAACUGGUCCAGGUUGCUGCUGACUGGCCAAGCCAGGGGCUUGUGGAGUUCCACCAAGUGGUCCUGGCCUACCGAGCAGGUUUGCCUAAUGCCCUUGAUGGUGUGACCUUCACUGUUUACCCUGGAGAGAAGGUGGGGAUUGUGGGUCGCACAGGAUCUGGAAAAUCCACCCUUUUCUUGGCCCUUUUCCGCAUGCUGGAGCUGAAAUCGGGCCGGAUUCUCCUGGAUGGCAUUGAGAGCCAGCUGGUGGGCUUGGAGGAGCUGAGGUCCAGGCUGGCCAUCAUUCCCCAGGACCCGUUUUUGUUCAGUGGUUCAAUCCGAGAGAACCUGGAUCCGCAGGGGAAGCGGACGGAUGCUGAGCUGCAGGAGGUGCUGGAGCAGUGCCACCUGCGCGACGCUGUGACGCAGCUGGGUGGGUUGUACGGCGAGCUGGGGGAGAAGGGAAAGAAUCUGUCGGUGGGACAGAGGCAGCUGAUGUGUCUGGCAAGAGCCCUCCUGACACAGGCCAAGGUGCUGUGCAUUGACGAGGCCACGGCCAGCGUGGAUCAGAAGACAGACCAGCUGCUGCAGCAGACCAUCCGCCAGCGCUUCGCCGACACAACCGUUCUGACGAUCGCUCACAGGCUCAACACCAUCUUGGACUCAGACCGUGUGCUGGUGAUGCAAGCUGGGAGAGUGGCAGAGCUGGACUCACCCUCCCGCCUGAGCCAGAGAGAUGGCUCCUUGUUCCAGCACCUUCUGCGCAGCGGGCAGCAGUGAGCUCUCUCCUGCUUCUGCCUGCCUCUCCUCUCACCUCAGGCACCAGCCCGGGCCCUGCGGGGCCAGGAGCCGCUGAGACACAGACUUCCUUGUGAGAUGCAGGAGUGAUGCUCUCUGUACAAAGACAACCUGCUCCCUACUACUUUGAGAGGGCGUUGUCUUUUCCAAGCCCAGAAGGUCACACCCAAGGACCUUGGUGCUCUUUCUGCAGUUCACAGUGGAGAAGCCUUUCUCCUGAAAGACCAGGAUGUGAUUACACCGAAGGCCUCUAAGGCUAGUUUAUUUCAAGACCACUUUUCCAUGGGAAACUCCCUAUCCCUGCUGCACUGUUCCCAGCUGAACAAACCCACGGCUGCUUUCAGUGAGAUUGCUCUUCCCUUGGACUCGGUUCUUUUGAGAUUUCCCCUUCUCCCCAACACUAAAGCGAGGCCUAGCAGGUACACACCUUUGCUACACAGUCCUGAGGCAGGUCCCACUCCUUCUCCUGGGGCUGCAGGAGACACCUCCAGCCCCGCAGCCAGAGCACAGGGCAGGACAACUCCUGUGCCACCAUCUGGGUGUGCAUUCUUGAGGAAAGUGAUGGAGAUACUCAUCCAGGACAAAUACCUGCACAACCUGAUCUAGUGGGGCCUGCCGAGAGCAGAAGCUUGGUGUCCAGAGGUCCUUUGCAACAGAAAUUAUGUUAUGAUUCUCCGAUACGCUGCUUCUGGGCUUGUAUUUGUUUUAUUUGAUAAAGGUACAUCAUCCAUCCAUGUAUUAAAAAAAUAAUCUUUCUGAUGAAGCUCC